CCUACGGGGGGCAGCAGUAGGGAAUAUUGGUCAAUGGAUGGAAGUCUGAACCAGCCAUGCCGCGUGCAGGAAGAAGGCCUUCUGGGUUGUAAACUGCUUUUGCCAGGGGAUAAAAAUUCUUUGCGAAGAAAAUUGAAGGUACCUGGUGAAUAAGCACCGGCUAACUACGUGCCAGCAGCCGCGGUAAUACGUAGGGUGCAAGCGUUGUCCGGAUUUAUUGGGUUUAAAGGGUGCGUAGGCGGCCUUGUAAGUCAGUGGUGAAAUACUCCAGCUUAACUGGAGGGGUGCCAUUGAUACUGCAGGGCUUGAGUUAAGUUGAAGUUGGCGGAAUUGACGGUGUAGCGGUGAAAUGCUUAGAUAUCGUCAAGAACACCGAUAGUGAAGACAGCUAACUAAACUUUUACUGACGCUGAGGCACGAAAGUGUGGGGAUCAAACAGGAUUAGAUACCCCAGUAGUC
rnacentral:rRNA from 1 species